rnacentral:rRNA from 1 species
GACGAACGCUGGCGGCGUGCCUAAUACAUGCAAGUUGAGCGCUGAAGGUUGGUACUUGUACCAACUGGAUGAGCAGCGAACGGGUGAGUAACGCGUGGGGAAUCUGCCUUUGAGCGGGGGACAACAUUUGGAAACGAAUGCUAAUACCGCAUAAAAACUUUAAACACAAGUUUUAAGUUUGAAAGAUGCAAUUGCAUCACUCAAAGAUGAUCCCGCGUUGUAUUAGCUAGUUGGUGAGGUAAAGGCUCACCAAGGCGAUGAUACAUAGCCGACCUGAGAGGGUGAUCGGCCACAUUGGGACUGAGACACGGCCCAAACUCCCACGGGAGGCAGCAGUAGGGGAUCUUCGGCAAUGGACGAAAGUCUUACCGAGCAACGCCGCGUGAGUGAAGAAGGGUUUCGGAUCGUAAAACUCUGUUGGUAGAGAAGAACGUUGGUGAGAGUGGAAAGCUCAUCAAGUGACGGUAACUACCCAGAAAGGGACGGCUAACUACGUG